CAGUCAAAAUGUGCCCAUUGGUAUAAAAGUGGCAUGGAAGCUAUGGUGGUAACAACUGGUGUAAGACAGCUUGGCAUCAUAUCCAUAUAGCAAAACAACAAUAGGUCAGGGCCUAUGACCUCUCCACCCAAGAGCUUUUGAAUUCCCUUCCGGAGGGAAGUCCUCAAAUACAAUCAGAAGUCUUACAAAUAUUUAUGUUUAUACUCAUAGAUUAGUGCUGCUGUCAAGAUCAGUGCUAGCCAAAGAAGCUUCUGUGUGAUGUUUAAUACAAAAAUUCACCCCAUCGGAGGCCUGGAGAACGUCAUAAAAGAAGAGAAGAGAAAAUACAAGCAUUGGAGGAGGGGAAGCAGUGUUGUGAGUGCUGUGUUCUGGACCUGAUACAGCUGGAGGCGUCUCGCUGGGGAGACAGGAGCACAGGAUCCUGCAAGAGUUGGGGUUGGCCGCCCGGGUCCCGCCACCUAGAGAGCAGAGAAACCAUGAAUCCCGCAGCACCCAACGCAGGGUGGGAAGUAGGAACGAGGCAUCUACCCGGGGAAGACCUGGCGCCUCCUACACUUGUCCCGACGUUCACCUCGUCUGCUCCCGGGCCCUCUUGUGGUUUCAAGAGGUCUCCAGAGGUCAGUUGUCGCGGAGUCAAAACGGCUUGACCUCACGCGCCGCCCUCUCAGCUGACCAGACGGUGCCAGGGAGAAAGAUGGCGGGUGAGGCAUAUCCGCUUGCUGCCGGCGUUCCUGAUUGGACAGCUGGCCGCAAGGACACUUACCAUAUCUGAGCCCAAGGCUUCCCGAGGCCGGUAGGAAUGAUCCUGGUGUUGGCAGCCACACAGCACGGAUCCUGAACGGCUGCCUGUGACUCCCUCAGCUGACAGGACAGCAUCACCACGAUAGUCUGGCAAGUAAAAGAGAUGGCCGGUGAGGAACUUCCGCUCCACCAAUCGGCGCUUCUGAUUGGAUAGCUCGUGCUGCGCUCAGAGACAGGGGCCUAGCAAAACUAUCCUCUGAGAGACCCCACCCAGCAGCCAACGGAAAGAGAUACUGAGCUCCACACCCAAACAUCGGUUGGAGCUUAGGGAGUCUUAUGGAAGAGUCGGGGGAAGAAUUGAGGAACCCGAAGAGGACAGGGACUCCACACGAAGACCAACAAAGUCAACUAAACUAGAUAUUUGGGGGAGGAGGGUCCCAGCAUCUGAAUCACCAACCAAUGAGCAAGCAUGGACUGGAACUAGGCUCUCUGCACUUAGGUAGCAGAUGUGCAGCUUGGCUGUUGUGCACAUCCCCAACCACAGGAACAGAGACUGUCCCUAAACCUAUUGCAUGCCUAUCUGCCAUGGAUCAUGGUCCCCUAACUGGGUGCCUUGUCUGGCCUCAGUGGGAGUGGAUACACCUAGUACUGCAGUAAAUUGAUGUUGUCCUGGUGGGUGGAGUAGGCUGAAGGGAGUGAGGGUGGGAAGGUGGUGUGAGGGUGGAGGGUGGAAUGAGAGAAGGAUCGGAAUGAGGGGAUACUGGGUGGAGAGGGGCUGAUAUUGAGAAGUAAAGUGAAUAAAUACAUUAAUAAAAAAUAUUUAAAACUGAA